rnacentral:lncRNA from 1 species
GAGAAGUUUUGAAGGAAGAUAUAUCCUAAGGCUAAUCUAAGUAUAGCUUAUAAUUGACUAAAUCUUGUAAAGCAACCUCUAAGACUUGUUUCUUCUUCUCCACGACCUUUGAGGCUUUUACCGUUGUAAGGGAGACAUCAGAACACUUGGAAAACUGUUCUUCAACAGCUGAAACUUUGGAUUCCAUCUCUACAGCUUCUUGCUUGGCAGCAUCUCGG